rnacentral:rRNA from 1 species
GACCCUUCGGGGAGCCUAUACAGGUGUUGCAUGGGCUGUCGUCAGCUCGUGUCGUGAGAUGUUCGGUUAAGUCCGCUAACGAGCGCAACCCUCGUCGUAUGUUAUAUGUGUCAUACGAGACUGCCGGUAAAAGCCGGAGGAAGGUGAGGAUGAUGUCAAGUCAGCAUGACCUUUAUAUCCAGGGCUACACACACGCUACAAUGGUCUGUACAAUGGGUAGCCAAGCCGCGAGGCGGAGCCAAUCCUGAAAGCAGGCCUCAGUUCAGAUUGCAGUCUGCAACUCGACUGCAUGAAGCCGGAGUUGCUAGUAACCGCAGGUCAGCAAUACUGCGGUGAAUACGUUCCCGGGUCUU